rnacentral:tRNA from 1 species
GAGAAGUUGGCUCAGUGGUAGAGUGCUUGCCUCGAAUGCAUGAGGCCCUGGGUUUGAUUUCUCA